rnacentral:tRNA from 1 species
GGGGCUAUGGCUCAGCUGGGAGAGCGCUACAUUCGCAUUGUAGAGGUCAGGGGUUCGAAUCCCCUUAGCUCCA